rnacentral:lncRNA from 1 species
GAUUUCGGUAAUUUGGUGUUGACUGGUUGACUUGAAUUUUUGGUCAAUAAAAAUAGUUACAAUGGCUAUUUUAGAGUAAAGCCAUCGAAUAUGAGGUCAUUUUAGCAAAACCAACGAAUCCAUAGCCAUUCUAGCAAAGCGUUCGAUUUCGUGGCCAAAAUAGCAAUUAUCUCGUUUGACAGAGAUUGGUGAGGGUGAGUCAUGGGCAUGCAAGGUACCCAAGGAAUGAGUGAAAACUUUGGGACAUACCAGGACAAGAGCAAAACAUAGGAGCGUAUAAGAAAGUUUCUCUUGAUUAUAUAGAAGCUAAAAAGCUAAAAAGGCAGCCUUGAUGUAUCUCUCUCUCUCUCGUGUCUUAUAGUAGCAAGUGAUGUCCUUUGUACUUGUCGUCGCUGCAGUCAUAGCAACCUCAUCUUUCAUCUCAC